GAUGAAGAACGUAGUGAAAUGCGAUAAGUAAUGCGAAUUGCAGAAUUUCCGUGAGUCAUCGAAUCUUUGAACGCACAUUGCGCCCGCCAGUAUUCUGGCGGGCAUGCCUGUUCGAGCGUCAUUUCAACCAUCAAGCCCCAGGCUUGUGUUGGGGACCUGCGGCUGCCGCAGGCCCUGAAAACCAGUGGCGGGCUCGCUAGUCACACCGAGCGUAGUAGCAUACACAUCGCUCAGGGCGUGCUGCGGGUUCCGGCCGUUAAACCCCUUUUUUACCCAAGGUUGACCUCGGAUCAGGUAGGAAGACCCGCUGAACUUAAGCAUAUCAAUAAGCGGAGGA
rnacentral:misc_RNA from 1 species